CCUGUGACAGGGUUGGGCGUGCUCGCAGCAGGGCACACAGCGGCUUCAAUGCGAGCGCUGCCGGAGCACAGGCCAGCUUCCCCUGGGCUGCGAGUGGACGGGCGAGUUCACAAGGGACUUCAGCUGAUACAAGGUAGGAAUGAAAUACCCCAGCAGCUACUCUGGAUACUGAGAACAUAAUGUACUUCAGAGCCCUGGCUUUCCAUGCCAAUUCAUCCUCACUGUUAAAACCCCACAUACAAGCAACAAACACUGUCCCCUGAAGCCAACAACAAUGCCUAUGACAGAAGUGUCAUUGAGAAACACACUGUGAUCUGUAUAUCCACACAGGCUAAAGCCAUCCUCAGUGCUGGCUGAAGUGCUAGUGACUUCUCUACCGUACAUCUUCUACUCUGGGAAACUUUAAACAAAAACCCUCGAGGGAUCAACGACCAUCUGGAGUUCCCAUUCUAGGAGAUCAGUGACUUGAGGCAAGUCUUUUUCUCUUCAGGAAAAACCCAAAAGCACAACAGGCUUUUAAUCAGCCUUCUCUACUUAGUGCCACUUGGGGCAUGUCAGGAAUGCCAGAGCAGCAUUGAUGCACCAGCAGGUAUCAGUAAAGAGUUGGGAUUGCCACGACCUUUAAGAACCACCUGUGGUGACAUCAGGCCUGAAAGGUCAGAGGAUCAAGGAUCGUAUAGGCUAAUUAUAGGUAAAUACAAUUAAGUAUUGUCAGGCAGUAAGUAUUAGAUGGGAGGUUUUGCUAAGCAAUUUUAAGUACUUUUGCAUAAUCUAAUGACAUUGUUAUUCAAUAAUUGCCAGCAAAACAAAGCAAUUUAGAACCCAAUUAAUUUCCCAGUGUCAAUUUUUGCAAAGCUAAAUUCAAAAUAAAUGCACACCCAAAACCACUUACUGUUCAUUGCACUGAAUGAAAGCUGCAGCUAACAGCACCUAUUGGAGCUAAACACAAAUACCACACUUUGCUCACUUCCUUAUUGAAGUUUGUCAACUGGAGUUGACCGGCAUCUAUUGGAAUAAAACCACUGCAAGCCCUUUUCCCACCCUCUCCUCCUGCUGUCCCCGACUCCUCACACAGCUGCACGUGCAAAACAGCACAAGUGAGCAGUGGGAAGAAGAAAAUAAAAAGCUGCAGUGUUGCAGUUUUCCUUGGAAGCAGAGACUAAGGAGCCUUCAUCCUGAUUUUAACUCACCUCUGAGACCCAAUGGCCCACAGACACACAGCAUCAACUGCUGACAAUGCAGAGUAGGAGUCACACUGGAUAAAUUAUUCACAUAUUCCAUUUCACCACUGGACUAUACCUGAAAUGAUGCAUUGUUAAACCUCCUCCUAAGCACACCCUCCCUUU